CCUACGGGAGGCAGCAGUGAGGAAUAUUGGACAAUGGGCGCAAGCCUGAUCCAGCCAUGCCGCGUGCAGGAAGACGGUCCUAUGGAUUGUAAACUGCUUUUAUACAGGAAGAAACACCUCUACGUGUAGAGACUUGACGGUACUGUAUGAAUAAGCAUCGGCUAACUCCGUGCCAGCAGCCGCGGUAAUACGGAGGAUGCAAGCGUUAUCCGGAAUCAUUGGGUUUAAAGGGUCCGUAGGCGGUUUAAUAAGUCAGUGGUGAAAGCCCAUCGCUCAACGAUGGAACGGCCAUUGAUACUGUUAAACUUGAAUUAUUAGGAAGUAACUAGAAUAUGUAGUGUAGCGGUGAAAUGCUUAGAGAUUACAUGGAAUACCAAUUGCGAAGGCAGGUUACUACUAAUAUAUUGACGCUGAUGGACGAAAGCGUGGGGAGCGAACAGGAUUAGAUACCCUGGUAGUCCACGCCGUAAACGAUGGAUACUAGCUGUUCGGAGCAAUNUGAGUGNGUAGAGAAGAGAGUAAGUAUACCACCGUCGGGAGGUACGGUUCGUCGAAGAAGUAGUAAACGUUAAACGGUAAAGUUAGUACGGACGUAGAGACGUUAGCGACGGACGACGACGAGGGAGGAGGGNG
rnacentral:rRNA from 1 species